rnacentral:rRNA from 1 species
CAGAGGUCCCAAGCGUUGUUCGGAUUCACUGGGCGUAAAGGGUGCGCACGUGGGUUUGCAAGUUUGAUGUGAAAGCCCCGGGCUUAACCCGGGAAUGGCAUUGAAUACUGCAGAUCUGGAGGAUUGGAGGGGGGACUGGAAUUCUUGGUGUAGCAGUGAAAUGCGUAGAUAUCAAGAGGAACACCAGUGGCGAAGGCGAGUCCCUGGACAAUACCUGACACUGAGGCACGAAAGCUAGGGGAGCAAACAGGAUUAGAUACCCUGGUAGUCCUAGCUGUAAACGGUGCGCAUUUGCUGUAAACGGAAUCGACCCCGUUUGUGGCGAAGCUAACGCGAUAAAUGCGCCGCCUGGGAAGUACGGUCGCAAGAUUA